rnacentral:lncRNA from 13 species
ACAUGUUUUGAUUGAUUGACGGAGAAAUCAUGUUAAAACAAUUAUGAACAUAUUUAAAAAAUACAUGACCCAAGAUGUCGCUUUAAAAUAUACAGCACAAAAACAAUGUACUGAUUAGUGCUCAAGGAAUUGCCUUUUUGUAAAUCAAUAAGAGAAUUAGCAACGCACAAACUCAUCAACGAAAAUAAUCAGUCACUAACGGAAAAGGAAAUUCUGAGUGCUAUUGGUUACUGCUUAACAAACGCAAAAGAUUGGGAUGGACAUCGCGCACAGAGGAACAAAGUACAAAACCUAGAAUAAAAUUUGUAGGUUAACCUAUAUUAUAAGUAAUAUAAAGUGUACGUGUUAAUAUAAAGUGUUUAAUUUAAAUAUAUGACAAUUUGUUUUGUUUCGCUGACAAGAAAUAAAAGUAUUUUCUUUUUUGAAAUG